rnacentral:lncRNA from 1 species
UUUUACCUUCGAAAGAAAAGGGAAUUCAUAACUAGAUAAAAGUGUAGUGAAUUCCCUUUGCUCUUCAAACCUAUUUAGCUGCGAGUUUUGCAGUAAUAUAGCUGUUUUCACCAUCUCCAGCAAACUACCAUUGUUCUUGAAUAGCUAAACCUACUUGAUUUAAUUUCAUAAGAAAUUUUCUGAAUGUCAUCAUUAGGUUUCGGUCUUUGUGGUCUCUCCUGCGGAAAAGGAAAAACAUCUCUAACUUGUGUACAUAGGAAAGAGCAGUGCAUUACAAAAUAUGG